rnacentral:lncRNA from 1 species
GUUGGGAUAUUAAAAACCAUCUAGUUCCAAACCCCUGUUGUGGGCUGGUUGCUCUGCACCAGCAUAGGCUGUGCAAGACCCCAUCCAUGGCCUUGAGCAUCCCAGGGAUGGGGUACCCACAGCUCUCCGGCAGCAGUGCCAGGGCCUCACUGCCCUUUGAGUAAAGAAUUUCUUCUUAAAGUUAUCCAGGUGGUAAGCUGUGGCAGAAUACUUGCUGUGCUAAAGCUUGCCUGUGACAUAGCUGAGAAAGUCACCCCUAUGGCAAGGUAAGGGCCAGCACAUCUGCUCUGUGCAUGCCCUUGCCCUACCCAGUUCCAAAGCUUCAGCACGAUGUGAUGUGAGGCCUUUGUGUCACCUUUGUGCUACAGAAGAGGUUUUUGUUUGUCCUUCAUAGGCUGAUCCAGGAGCAUUGAGUUACGGAUUGUUGUCCUUGCAAGGUCAGAACUGUGCCCCUCUGUAAUGUCAUUUGAGAGAAUGGCCUGUGUGAUUCUCAUGAGGGUGCUUAGCUCAUGGUGGGGAUGGCAGCUGGCAUUCUACCAAGGGUCCAGCCUCCUCAAGGCCACCUCUGUUUGAAAAGAGAGGCAGAACUUCACUGAGAUGUCCCGGAUUGAUUCAUAGAGAGAUUAACCAUGCAGCAGCAGAACCAAAGCAAGGUAAAUAACUUCUGUUGAAAGACACGGUUACAGUUCUGCUGGCAGCAUCAGCUGAGGUGAAGGCAGUCGUUUGGAACUCUUCUGUUCCGACAUGUGUUGUAGUAAAGCCAGCUAAUAUGAACACAUUGGAAACAUUUUCAUAACGUCCUAUUUGCUGUAAACAAUUCAUUAAAAUAACUUGCUAAGUCUUAGACAAGUGGGUUUUUGAAGGUUGCUCAUUUUACUUAUCCUCCCAAAGUCAAUUUGAGUAUGAAUAUAUAUCAUUUUACUCAUAAUAGCAAACAACUUCGGAAAAGAAACAUUUAUUCUGGAGGCAGAGAUUCAAACUAAACGGCAAUGAUGCAUUACAAAUAUAUAAUUAUUUGCACUAAUAUUUGAGCAGGUGGAAUGGAUUAGUACACAGUC